rnacentral:rRNA from 1 species
GAGUGAACGCUGGCGGUAGGCCUACCACAUGCAAGUCGAACGGCAGCACAGUAAGAGCUUGCUCUUACGGGUGGCGAGUGGCGGACGGGUGAGGAAUACAUCGGAAUCUACUUUUUCGUGGGGGAUAACGUAGGGAAACUUACGCUAAUACCGCAUACGACCUACGGGUGAAAGCAGGGGAUCUUCGGACCUUGCGCGAUUGAAUGAGCCGAUGUCGGAUUAGCUAGUUGGCGGGGUAAAGGCCCACCAAGGCGACGAUCCGUAGCUGGUCUGAGAGGAUGAUCAGCCACACUGGAACUGAGACACGGUCCAGACUCCUACGGGAGGCAGCAGUGGGGAAUAUUGGACAAUGGGCGCAAGCCUGAUCCAGCCAUACCGCGUGGGUGAAGAAGGCCUUCGGGUUGUAAAGCCCUUUUGUUGGGAAAGAAAAGCAGCAGGUUAAUACCCCGCUGUUCUGACGGUACCCAAAGAAUAAGCACCGGCUAACUUCGUG